CCUACGGGGGGCUGCAGUGAGGAAUAUUGGUCAAUGGGCGCAAGCCUGAACCAGCCAUCCCGCGUGAAGGAAGAAUGCGCUAUGCGUUGUAAACUUCUUUUCCAGGGGAAUAAAAUUUCGUACGUGUACGGGACUGAAGGUACUCUGGGAAUAAGCAUCGGCUAACUCCGUGCCAGCAGCCGCGGUAAUACGGAGGAUGCGAGCGUUAUCCGGAUUUAUUGGGUUUAAAGGGUAAAUAGACGUCAGUGUAUAAAGCCUUCAGCUUAACUGGAGACUUGCCAUUGAUACUGUUAUGCUUGAGUAUAGUUAAGGUAGGCGGAAGGUGUAAUGUAGCGGUGAAAUGCUUAGAGAGUACACAGAACACCAAUUGCGAAGGCAGCUUACUGAGCUAUAACUGACGCUGAUGCACGAAAGCGUGGGGAGCGAACAGGAUUAGAUACCCCUGUAGUC
rnacentral:rRNA from 1 species